UACGUAGGCUGCAAGCGUUGUUCGGAGUUACUGGGCGUAAAGCGUGCGCAGGCGGCUGCGUAAGUCGAGUGUGAAAGCCCCGAGCUUAACCUGGGAAUUGCGCUCGAAACUACGUGGCUGGAGUGUGGCAGAGGAAGGUGGAAUUCCACGUGUAGCGGUGAAAUGCGUAGAGAUGUGGAGGAACACCGAUGGCGAAGGCAGCCUUCUGGGCCAACACUGACGCUCAUGCACGAAAGCUAGGGUAGCAAACGGG
rnacentral:rRNA from 1 species